AUUGAACGCUGGCGGAAUGCUUUACACAUGCAAGUCGAACGGCAGCACGGGGGCAACCCUGGUGACGAGUGGCGAACGGGUGAGUAAUACAUCGGAACGUGCCCGAGAGUGGGGGAUAACGAAGCGAAAGCUUUGCUAAUACCGCAUACGAUCUCAGGAUGAAAGCAGGGGACCGCAAGGCCUUGCGCUCACGGAGCGGCCGAUGGCAGAUUAGGUAGUUGGUGGGAUAAAAGCUUACCAAGCCGACGAUCUGUAGCUGGUCUGAGAGGACGACCAGCCACACUGGACUGAGACACGGCCCAGACUCCUACGGGAGGCAGCAGUGGGGAAUUUUGGACAAUGGGCGCAAGCCUGAUCCAGCCAUGCCGCGUGCAGGAUGAAGGCC
rnacentral:rRNA from 1 species